AUCCAGCUAACGAGUCCCGAAUAAGACGAAAAGCGCGUCAAUCUGGAU
rfam:Schistosoma rodhaini strain Burundi genome assembly, scaffold: SROB_scaffold0000271